UGAGGAAUUUUGCGCAAUGGGGGAAACCCUGACGCAGCAACGCCGCGUGAGCGAUGAAGGCUUUCGAGUCGUAAAGCUCUGUCAGAUGGGAAGAAAAAAAUGACGGUACCAUCAAAGGAAGCCCCGGCUAACUCCGUGCCAGCAGCCGCGGUAAUACGGGGGGGGCAAGCGUUGUUCGGAAUUAUUGGGCGUAAAGCGCGUGUAGGCGGUAAGGUAAGUCAAACGUGAAAGUCAACGGCUCAACCGGGGAAUUGCGUUUGAUACUGUCUUACUGGAGUACGGGAGGGGAGAGCGGAAUUCCUAGUGUAGCAGUGAAAUGCGUAGAUAUUAGGAAGAACACCGGUGGCGAAGGCGGCUCUCUGGUCCGUUACUGACGCUGAGACGCGAAAGCCAGGGGAGCGAACGGG
rnacentral:rRNA from 1 species